rnacentral:misc_RNA from 1 species
UCCCUGUUAACCAGGGCAGUCUCCUGUGACAGUCUAACACAGGAUAAGGGUUGCGUUCGUUUGCGGACUUAACCGAACAUCUCACGACACGAACUGACGACAGCCGUGCACCACCUGUCAUCUGGCUCCCUUGCGGGCACUCCCGGCUUUCACCGGGAUUCCAGAGAUGUCAAGCCUUGGUAAGGUUCUUCGCUUACCGUCGAAUUAAACCUCAUGUUCCCCCGCUUGUGCGAGUCCCCGUCAAUUCCUUUGAGUUUUAGCCUUGCGGCCGUACUUCCCAGGCGGCAGACUUCACGCGUUAGCUUCGGCACAGGGAGGGUCGAUACUCCCAAUGCCUAGUCUGCAUCGUUUACGGCGUGGACUAC